UUUUUUAUACAGAAAACGUGUUGUACUCUUAUUGACUAAAAUGAAGUGAUAUGUCCCUGAAUUAUGCCGGCAGUAACUCCAGCUCGAUUUUGAGAGGCAAAUUGGGCGUCAGAUUGUUUGGCAUGUCGACGAAUCAGAACCCCAGCUCCAACAGCAAUGCGGCGGCUACAGUCUUGCUUCCUGAGAUCGGGCCGGAUGGCUUGGCCCGAGAAUCUCCUAUCAUAGCUUACACCGAGAAGAUUAUUGAAGAAGAGCAGCUUCAGUUGAGGAAGUACAUUGAAGAAAACUAUUCUAAGAUUCGUGAUGUUGAACGAGAACUUGCAAACCUCUCAAUGGAAAUGAAGCUUACUGCCGGUCCAAAGAAAGCUGCACUUGAACACCUACGGAAGAAAAUAGAAAUGUCAACAGAGAGAAUUCGUUUGGCUAAGGUGAAAGAAGAACAAGCUAAAAAGGCCUGGGAAGCAGCAGCAAAAGAUGUGCAGGAUGAGGAAGCAAUCAAACAGAAGCUUUGCGACGAUCUAAAUAAUCUGGUCCAGGAAAGUAGCAACAGCCAGCUUGCUAGACUGGAGGAACUGAAGCGCCGUAUGGAGUCUCUGAACCCAAGUAGAUCUUCCAAUAUACACAUGCCCUCAUGUUGUGAAAAGCGCGUUCGGGGCGCGCUCGGGGCGCGGGGCGGUCAAAGCGAGAAUGUAAUCGCCCCGAUGCGGCGGGGUCGUGCGAGAUCCAUGGAGCGAGUGUGGGGCGCGCCUAGAGCGUCCGGGUCGCCGUGGAGCGUCUGGGUCGUCUGGGGCGAGCCGAUUUAGGAUUUAAAUAUUAGCGACUGUUCAUCUUCUUCCUUGAAUAAAUAAAAAAAAGACCCAGCUAGGAAAUAUGCAAGAGCUGAUCUGGAUACCAGAUAUAAACUUACAUACAACUUUUGCGACAAAGUGAUUGCAUCGGGAGUUCGAAGGCUCAAAGAACAUUUUGUUGGCGGAAUUAAAAACAUCACGAAAUGUACUAAAUGCCCACCACAUGUGAGAGUGGAGAUGAUCAACUAUAUGAAGAAAAAAGAGGAUGCUAAAAUACAGCAAGUUUUUACAGCGGCAGCAUCACAAAGCAGGAGAUAUUAAUUUGGUUGUAUCCGAUGAAGGAGAAGAGGUCUUACCUAUGAGUGAUGAUGAUAUUAUUUAAUUAAUUAUUUUAUGUUUUGCAACUUUUUUUGGAACUUUGAUGAUUUUUGAUAAUAAAAUUCAGUUAUUUAGUUA